AACGAACGCUGGCGGCAGGCUUAACACAUGCAAGUCGAACGCCUGUAGCAAUACAGGAGUGGCAGACGGGUGAGUAACACGUGGGAACGUGCCCAAAGGUACGGAACAACUCCGGGAAAAUGGAGCUAAUACCGUAUGUGCCCGAACGGGGAAAGAUUUAUCGCCUUUGGAUCGGCCGGCGUCUGAUUAGCUAGUUGGUGUGGUAAUGGCCUACCAAGGCGACGAUCAGUAGCUGGUCUGAGAGGCUGGCCAGCCACACUGGGACUGAGACACGGCCCAGACUCAUACGGGAGGCAGCAGUGGGGAAUAUUGGACAAGGGGCGCAAGCCUGAUCCAGCCAUGCCGCGUGAGUGAUGAAGGCCUUAGGGUUGUAAAGCUCUUUCGCCAGGGACGAUAAUGACGGUACCUGGAUAAGAAGCCCCGGCUAACUUCGUGCCAGCAGCCGCGGUAA
rnacentral:rRNA from 1 species